rnacentral:lncRNA from 1 species
AUUGUAUUUGCAGAAAUAACAGCUGGGAUCUACAGUGGCCAAAGAGUUGUCUCCGUCUUGCUACAUCGACAAACUGGUGCUCCUGAGUGAGGAUUGUGCCCUGGGAUGGGGGAUUCAGUUUCUUCAUUUAUAGUUGGAAGUGGGUGAAGUGCCAGGAGCGACGGUACACUCCAGAGUGCUGUGCCCUGAUGGGCCUUUGAGUGGCCAGUGCAGUGGAUCAUCAGCCCUGUCUCCCAAGAGCUCCAGUCCCUUCUCCGGAGAGGAAGUGGGUCCACUGGCAGCUCAGGAGGCCAUAGCAGAUUGUGGGGCUCUGUGCAGUUGAUGUUAGUUAACCACUGGAUCCACGUGUUCACCGUGGCUUGCGCCCCUGCAUCCGAAAGUGAUCUUGGCUGCCGUGUCCUGGUCAUUGGUAGUGCAGGGAAAGGAUGCGGAAAGACGGGCUCCGAGCUCGGGGCGUCUGGCCUGGAGCUUUCCUACACUUGUGUCUUGCUCUGCAGCCUUACGGAAGUGUGGGUGGCGCUUUCUGGAAGCUGCACAAGUCAGUGCUGGGUCUUCGCAACUUGGUGUUCUGUUUCCAGAAACUUGGGGUGUUUGCAUGUGCUAGGUCAGCACAGAUUUCCAAAGGAUCUCUAGGAUUGUCACGUGUGCUCAACAGUCCUCCUCGGCUUUCCAGAAGAGGCUGGAACAGGGCCCUUGAAGAUGUUUGUGGACAUCAGAGGGCCAAAGACGACACAAAGUGAAACUGGAGACACCGCCCCCCCUUGGCAUCAUGAAACUGCCGAUGUUACUGGCUCAUGCAUGGGAGACACCAGCAUACAAAGUCUUGACACCAACACCUCAGAGGGCUGUGUUCUGUCCCCGUGACCAUCAUCUAGUGCCUGGAAAGACUAGUGACAAGAACUUGUUGCCAACUUCCUAUUACCUCCCUAACAGUUGUGCAAUAAACCCCAUAGGUUAAUUCA